rnacentral:rRNA from 1 species
UACAGAGGGUGCGAGCGUUAAUCGGAAUUACUGGGCGUAAAGCGUGCGUAGACGGUUUCGUAAGUCGGGUGUGAAAUCCCGGGGCUCAACCUCGGAAUGGCAUUCAAUACUGCUUCGCUCGAGUACUGGAGAGGAGGCUGGAAUUUACGGUGUAGCAGUGAAAUGCGUAGAUAUCGUAAGGAAGGCCGGUGGCGAAAGCGAGCCUCUGGACAGUUACUGACGCUGAUGCACGAAGGCCAGGGGAGCAAACGGG